rnacentral:rRNA from 1 species
CCUACGGGUGGCAGCAGUGGGGAAUAUUGCGCAAUGGGCGAAAGCCUGACGCAGCGACGCCGCGUGAGGGAUGAAGGUCUUCGGAUCGUAAACCUCUGUCAGCAGGGAAGAACGGUCACUGUGCUAAUCAGCAGUGAAUUGACGGUACCUUCAAAGGAAGCACCGGCUAACUCCGUGCCAGCAGCCGCGGUAAUACGGCGGGUGCGAUCGUUAAUCGGACUUACUGGGCGUAAAGCGCUCGUAGGCGGUAUGUCAAGUCAAGGGUGAAAGCCCCGCGCUCAACGUGGGAACUGCCUUUGAAUCUGGCAAACGGGAGUGUGUGGGAGGAUAGUGGACUUGUCGGUGUAGCAGUGAAAUGCGUAGAUAUCGAGAGGAACACUCGUGGCGAAGGCGGGUUCCUGGACAUGAACUGACGCGGAGGCACGAAGGCCAGGGGAGCGAAAGGGAUUAGAUACCCGAGUAGUC